GAUGAACGCUGGCGGCGUGCCUAAUACAUGCAAGUCGAGCGAAUGGAUUAAGAGCUUGCUCUUAUGAAGUUAGCGGCGGACGGGUGAGUAACACGUGGGUAACCUGCCCAUAAGACUGGGAUAACUCCGGGAAACCGGGGCUAAUACCGGAUAACAUUUUGAACCGCAUGGUUCGAAAUUGAAAGGCGGCUUCGGCUGUCACUUAUGGAUGGACCCGCGUCGCAUUAGCUAGUUGGUGAGGUAACGGCUCACCAAGGCAACGAUGCGUAGCCGACCUGAGAGGGGGAUCGGCCACACUGGGACUGAGACACGGCCCAGACUCCUACGGGAGGCAGCAGUAGGGAAUCUUCCGCAAUGGACGAAAGUCUGACGGAGCAACGCCGCGUGAGUGAUGAAGGCUUUCGGGUCGUAAAACUCUGUUGUUAGGGAAAAACAAGUGCUAGUUGAAUAAGCUGGCACCUUGACGGUACCUAACCAGAAAGCCACGGCUAACUACUUGCCAGCAGCCGCCGUAA
rnacentral:rRNA from 1 species